rnacentral:lncRNA from 1 species
GCGAUACGUACUGGCUUGAAAACUAAGGACGAAAAAAAAAAAUCGAUAUAUAUUUUUAUGUUAGUUACAGGUCGAAACAAUAUUUUGGAAAUCUUGGGUCACAUAAGAUGUGGUAUUAAAAUUAGUACAUGUUUCUUUUUAACGUGGCUGCAAGAAAAUUUAAAUACUCGGAGGGCUCUCCCCUUGUCCGUUGUGACGUGCCAGUCGAGGCAGGAAAGGCGCGGCGCUGCCGGCAUCUUCCACGGAGUUCAGUGUCCCGGCAUCUUAGAAGUAACUUCCUAAACAAUGAAUUUAAGACGCGCGCUGCGCUUUUCCUCGUUAGUAUAGUGAGGCCAGCCCACGUUCUCAGAAGUUGGCGCUCUUUCCGCGGCCUCACUACAACCGAGGUGAGUCAACAGACCUGAGCACUCGUCCGGCAAUCAGAAUUCCGGUCCUUUCACCACGAAGCAGCUCUGCUUUUGUUCAAGCCAUUUUUUCCCUCUGAGCUUUGGUUUCUUCAUCUGUAAUGUGGAGGAGCCAAGAAUUUUCAAGACUCUUUGGGGGCUAAAGUCCUUUGAAGUAGUGCCGCGCACUGGCAGCUGGCACACAGUAGCUGCUCAUGCUUUGAAAAGAUACUGAUUUUCCUGAAUAUAAGAGUAAGAUAGCCCAUGUAGAAAACAUGGGAGAUAAGCAAACCACAAAGAAAGAAGAGGCAUCCAUAUUUCCAUCACACAGGAAGUCCCUGCUAAUAUUUUGCUGUGUGUUUAGCUCUUCUGCAUUUUUAAAAUGCGAAGCUGCAAUCACAUUGUGCAAAUCGUUUU